GAUGAACGCUGGCGGCGUGCCUAAUACAUGCAAGUCGAGCGAACGGACGAGAAGCUUGCUUUUCUGAUAUUAGCGGCGGAAGGGUGAGUAAAACGUGGAUAACCUCCCUAUAAGACUGGGAUAACUUCGGGAAACCGGAGCUAAUACCGGAUAAUAUUUUGAACCGCAUGGUUCAAAAGUGAAAGACGGUCUUGCUGUCACUUAAAGAUGGAUCCGCGCUGCAUUAGCUAGUUGGUAAGGUAACGGCUUACAAAGGCAACGAUGCAUAGCCGACCUGGGAGGGUGAUCGGCCACACGGGAACGGGAACACGGUCCGGACUCCUACGGGAGGCAGCAGUAGGGAAUCUUCCGCAAGGGGCGAAGUCCUAACGGGGCAACGCCGCGGGAGGGAUGAAGGUCUUCGGAUCGUAAAACUCUGUUAUUAGGGAAGAACAUAUGUGUAAGUAACUGGGCACAUCUUGACGGUACCGAAUCAGAAAGCCACGGCUAACUACGUG
rnacentral:rRNA from 1 species